GAAGCCCUUGAAUAUAAAUUAAACCGUAAUAUCAAUAAAGUUUAUUCUUAUGACUAACAUGUGUUUAUAUGUACUAUGGUUUAGCGAAGACAUAUAAUAUGACUACUGUAUUUAUUUGAGAGCAGUGGGGGACGGAUUUUAUUGAUUUUAGUUUUCGUUUAUCAAGUAAAAACAACUUAAAUGAUGUUUUUUCUCAAAAAAAAAAAAAAUCCCAAUAAAUUAACUAAAGGAAUUACACCAAAUUGAUAAUUGAUAUUAAUCAAAAUAUUUACAAUAUUUCUUUUAGCAACACACUGAUCUCCAGAAGAAAAUAGUUGCACCACCAGGAGUUAUUUGGGCCGUGUUUGGAUUCAUGUUUAGUAGAGAAAAAAGAAAAGAGUUGUAUCUUUUUUCUUUCACAAAACCAUCCCUAAAUCUUUUAUCCAAACACAACCAUGAGAAUUUAACAUAACACACCGGCAAAUUUGACCGAAAUAUCCAUUUCAACGGUUGUUUUCUGGCCAAUUAAGGAGCGGCAAAAGCAUCGUCCACCCAUUUUUCCUGGUGGGCUGAGACCUUGCCGGGACUGGCGGCGGAGGGAGAGCCAACGAGGGCCUUGACGGCCGCGCGAACCUUCUCCGGAGGACCACUUUUUUCUCUAGUGUCCCGGUGGAGGGAGUUGGCUUCAAAUAAAUAUGGGUCGACACAAGGCUUCCAUUCUCUGUCUCUUCUCUAAGAUCUUCCGGGUUGUUUUCGUUGAUGUUCUUGGUUUCGGAUAUAAUGGAAGACAUAUAUAUAAAGGGAAGGAAAUAGAAUAGAUGGGAGUUUGUAACAUGGAUGGAGUGGAGGAUUGUGC
rnacentral:lncRNA from 1 species